GGAUAUAGCUCAGUUGGUAGAGUGCUUACCUUGUGUGCACAAGGUCCUGGGUUCAAUCCCCAACACCA
rnacentral:tRNA from 1 species